CUGAAAAAAGAGUAAUUAUAUAAUAUAUAUAUACAUAUUCUAAUUUCAUAUUCUUAUGCUCAAUAUACUAUACUUUGAUGAAGUAUACAUAUCUGAGCAAUAUAUAUAUAAAAGUUGGAAUCAAAAUUAGCUAAGAUUAUGUUUGUUCUUUUAGCAUUGAUAUAUAUUCUCCAGGCAUUGAUGAGAUGGUUGUAAAAUGUAAGCAAAGUUUGUACGUGUUGUUCAUUUCAAGGACUUUUACGAGUCUUUUAUUUUCUUUCACACAUGGCUGCAUCAAUGCCAGUUCUUGUGGAGAUGGGAAUCAAAGACUGCUUGGGGCUAACAAGACACUGAUUCUAAGAUGAAAUGACUGUGUGAUACAUUCUAUAUCGAGUCUGAACUUCAGAAUCGUCAAAGUUCCGGAGAAACAACAGAUGAUGCAUUUAGGGUUGUAUUUGGAAAGGAGUAGCCUGGUCAGGUUAGAUGCUAUGGUAGAUCGGUGACGACAAGCUCUCUGAAAAAAGAUGAAGAAAUCACCAAGCUUAAACAAAAGCAUGCCAAUGAAAUAACUUCUCUGAAGGAAAUUAUGAGAGAAGAAAUGCAAUAUUUUUUUUAGUCAAUUGGUGAAAAACAAUCCUGGAUUGGAUUUUAAUGAUAUACAAGGGUGUGUUGGAUCUAAUAUUCCUUCACCGGUUGAUGCAAGUAGUGCACGAGCUAUGAGAGGUCAAAAUCUGCCACAUUCUUCUGGCUCAACUCACGCCCAGUCUUGAAAAGCUAUUUAUAUUUCCCAAUUCCAAAAACUACCUCAAUCUUAACUUACAAAAUCAUGCUUUCUAACCAGUGUAUAGUAUAUAUAUGUUUCUUCCUAAUUUUUAAUUUCAUUUUGAAUGUGUAAGAAAAUACGGGUGAUGCAAUUCGAUAUGGUGGUCACAAAUCAAUUUGAUUCAUUAAAGUGAAUGGUGAAGACCUUUUGAACAAUUGGGAUGUUUAUUUUGAUUGAUUCUAUAAAUAUGAAUACAUUUGGUUUUGUAGAGGUCUUUGCUAGUGAACUCUUGAACCAACAGUGCUUUAUUACUAUAGACAGUACACAAAGUAUGUUUCUUUGUUGAAAUUUAUUUUAAGUAUAUGCAUUUGAAUUAUUUUUAUUC